UACAGAGGUCUCAAGCGUUGUUCGGAUUCAUUGGGCGUAAAGGGUGCGUAGGCGGCGCGGUAAGUCGGAUGUGAAAUCUCGGAGCUUAACUUCGAAACUGCAUUCGAUACUGCCGUGCUUGAGGACUGGAGAGGAGACUGGAAUUUACGGUGUAGCGGUGGAAUGCGUAGAUAUCGUAAGGAAGACCAGUGGCGAAGGCGGGUCUCUGGACAGUUCCUGACGCUGAGGCACGAAGGUCAGGGGAGCAAACGGG
rnacentral:rRNA from 1 species